CAUACAUUAAUUCAAGUGUAGAAUAUGGUAGAAAUUUUAAAACAACACUAAAGAUUAUAGGCUUCAGUAUACAAAGUAUUUACCAAAAACUCAAUAUUUUUGUAGGGGUUAGCCCAUAGAUUUUAAGAAAAUUUCAAAAAAUAUAUAACAAUAUUGUUUUAAUGCCUAGUUGCAUCCUGCACAAAUAUAUGAUGAUGUUCAAAGAGGUUUGGAGCCUUUGUGCUCUCUGUUUAUCAAGAAAAUAAUAAUUUUAUAUUGGUUAUCCAUCGAUUUAGGGGGUAUUAUGAAGUUUUACUAAAUUAAUUGAUAAAAACAAUUGAAUGAUGCUCAUUUACCAUGAAAAAGAGUUUAGCAUACAUCAAUACAAAUGUCGAAUAUGGUAGAAAUUUUAAAACAACACUAAAGAUUAUAGGCUUUAGUAUACAAAGUAUUUACCAAAAACUCAAUAUUUUUGUAGGGGUUAGCCCAUUGAUUUUAAAAAAUUUCAAAAAAUAUGACAAUAUUGUUUUAAUGGCUAGUUGCAUCCUGAACUAACAUAUGAUGAUGUUCAAAGAGGUUUGGAGCCUUUGUGCUCUCCGUUUAUCAAGAAAAUAAUUAUUUUAUAGUGGUUAUUGCAUAGAUUUAGAAGGUAUUAUGAAGUUUUACUAAAUUAAUUGAUAAAAACCAUUGAACGAUGCUCAUUUACCAUGAAAAAAGAGUUUAGCGUAUAUUAAUACAAAUAUAGAAUAUGGUAGAAAUUUUAAAACAACACUAAAGAUUAUAGGCUUCAGUAUAUAAAGUAUUUACCAAAAACUCAAUAUUUUUGUAGGGGUUAGCCCAUAGAUUUUGAAAAAAAUUCAAAAAAUAUGACAAUAUUGUUUUAAUGCCUAGUUGCAUCCUGCACUAACAUAUGAUGGUGUUCAAAGAGAUUUGGAGCCUUUGUCGUCUCCUUUUAUCAAGGAAAUAAUAAUUUUAUAGUGGUUAUUCCAUCGAUUUAGGGAGUAUUAUGAAGUUUUAUUAAAUUAUUUGAUAAAAACAAUUGAAAGAUGCUCAUUUACCAUGAAAAACAAUUAAGCAUACAUUAAUACAAAUGUAGAAUAUGGUAGAAAUUUUAAAACAACAAUAAAGAUUAUAGGCUUCAGUAUAUAAAGUAUUUACUAAAAACUCAAUAUUUUUGUAGGGUUAGCCCAUAGAUUUUGAGAAAAUUUCAAAAAAUAUGACAAUAUUGUUUUAAUGCCUAGUUGCAUCCUGCACUAACAUAUGAUGAUGUUCAAAAAGGUUUGGAGCCUUUGUCGUCUCCGUUUAUCAUGAAAAUAAUAAUUUUGUAGUGGUUAUUCCAUCGAUUUAGGGAGUAUUAUGAAGUUUUACUAAAUUAAUUGAUAAAAACAAUUCAAUGAUGCUCAUUUACCAUGAAAAAGAGUUAAGCAUACAUUAAUACAAAUGUAGAAUAUGACUAAAUUAAUUGAUAAAAACCAUUGAACGAUGCUCAUUUACCAUGAAAAAGAGUUUAGCAUACAUUAAUACAAAUGUAGAAUAUGGUAUAAAUUUUAAAACAACAAUAAAGAUUAUAGGAUUCAGUAAACAAAGUAUUUACCAAAAACUCUAUAUUUUUGUAGGGGUUACCCAUAGAUUUUGAGAAAAUUUCAAAAAAUAUGAAAAUAUUGUUUUAAUGCCUAGUUGCAUCCUGCACUAACAUAUGAUGAUGUUCAAAGAGGUUUGGAGCCUUUGUCGUCUCCGUUUAUCAAGAAAAUAAUAACUUUAUAGUGGUUAUUCCAUCGAUUUUGGGGGUAUUAUGAAGUUUUACUAAAUUAUUUGAUAAAAACAAUUGAACGAUGCUCAUUUACCAUGAAAAAGAGUUUAGAAUAAUACAUUAAUACAAAUGUAGAAUAUGGUAGAAAUUUCAAAACAACACUAAAGAUUAUAGGCUUCAGUAUACAAAGUAUUUACCAAAAACUCAAUAUUUUUGUAGGGGUUAGCCCAUAGAUUUUGAGAAAAUUUCAAAAAAUAUGACAAUAUUGUUUUAAUGCCUAGUUGCAUCCUGCACUAACAUAUGAUGAUGUUGAAAGAGGUUUGAAGCCUUUGUCGUCUCCGUUUAUCAAUAAAAGAAUAACUUUAUUGUGGUUAUUCCAUCGAUUUAGGGAGUAUUAUGAAGUUUUAUUAAAUUAUUUGAUAAAAACUAUUGAAAGAUGCUCAUUUACCAUGAAAAAGAGCUUAGCAUACAUUAAUACAAAUGUAGAAUAUGGUAGAAAUUUCAAAACAACACUAAAGAUUAUAGGCUUCAGUAUAUAAAGUAUUUACCAA
rnacentral:lncRNA from 1 species